AUAUCUAUCAACAUAUCUUCCUCACCUACUUCUAAUUUAUAUGCUUACUCCAAAAUUUAUCGAUUAACCUGACUGGUUUAAACACAGCGAGUGCGGUUACGGUUGCGGGAGUUUGCGGAAACGGGCGGUUGCGGUUUCAAGCGUUAUCAAGAAUUAUGAACGAUUGGUUAAGCGUUUGAUAAUGGGUGCGUUUGCGGGAGUUUUAUGAAUGGUAAACCAGCGGGUGCGAUAGUAAUUAAAUAAAAAUAAACCAAAAUAAAUAUAAUAUAUUACUAUUAAAAGAAAGAAAAAUACAAUAAAUUAUUAUGAGAAAUUGAUAAU
rnacentral:sRNA from 1 species